rnacentral:tRNA from 1 species
AUUUAAGUAGUUUAAUAAAAACAAUGAUUUGUGGUGUCAUAGAUAUAGUUUAUAUUUUAAAUU